rnacentral:rRNA from 1 species
GAAUCCCGUCUUUGGUACGGACCCCCAGGGCUUCUGUGAUGCGCUCUCGAAGAGUCGAGUUGUUUGGGAAUGCAGCUCAAAAUGGGUGGUGAACUCCAUCUAAAGCUAAAUAUUGGCGAGAGACCGAUAGCGAACAAGUACCGUGAGGGAAAGAUGAAAAGCACUUUGGAAAGAGAGUGAAACAGUACGUGAAAUUGUUGAAAGGGAAACGCUUAAAGUCAGUCGCGUCGACCGAGACUCAGCCUCGCUCCGGCUUGGUGUAUUUCUCGGCCUGACGGGUCAGCGUCAAUUUGGUCCCUCGGAUAAUGGCAAGGGAAAGGUGGCACCUUUACGGGUGUGUUAUAGUCUUUUGUCGCAUGCGAGGGGCGAGAUUGAGGAACUCAGCACGCGCGCCCUUCUGGGUGUGUCGGGGCCUCGGCCCACGCCACGUGCUUAGGAUGCUGGCGUAAUGGCUUUAAACGACCCGUCUUGAAACACGGACCAAGGAGUCUAACAUGCCCGCGAGUGUUCGGGUGGAAAACCCGUGCGCGUAAUGAAAGUGAAAGUUGGGACCUUCGUCGUGAAGGGCACCGACGCCCGGACCAGACCUUCUGUGACGGAUCUGCGGUGGAGCGUGCAUGUUGGGACCCGAAAGAUGGUGAACUAUGCCUGAAUAGGGUGGAUCCAGAGGAAACUCUGGUGGAGGCUCGUAGCGAUUCUGACGUGCAAAUCGAUCGUCAAAUUUGGGUAUAGGGGCGAAAGACUAAUCGAACCAUCUAGUAGCUGGUUCCUGCC